GUGCCAGCCGCUGCGGUAAUACGAAGGGGCUAGCGUUGCUCGGAAUGACUGGGCGUAAAGGGCGCGUAGGCGGCGCGUACAGUCAGGCGUGAAAUUCCUGGGCUCAACCUGGGGCUGCGCUUGAUACGUGCGUGCUUGAGUGUGGAAGAGGGUCGUGGAAUUCCCAGUGUAGAGGUGAAAUUCGUAGAUAUUGGGAAGAACACCGGUGGCGAAGGCGGCGACCUGGUCCAUUACUGACGCUGAGGCGCGAAAGCGUGGGAGCAAACAGGAUUAGAUACCCUGGUAGUCCACGCCGUAAACGAUGUGCGCUGGAUGUUGGGCGCCUAGCCGUUCAGUGUCGCAGCUAA
rnacentral:rRNA from 1 species